rnacentral:rRNA from 1 species
AUUGAACGCUGGCGGCAGGCCUAACACAUGCAAGUCGAGCGAGCGGCGGAAGGGUGAGGAAUGUAUGGGAAACUGCCUGAUGGGGGGGGAUAACUACUGGAAACGGUAGCUAAUACCGCACACCAUCAGAUGUGCCCAGAUGGGAUUAGCUGGUAGGUGGGGUAACGGCUCACCUAGGCGACGAGCCCUAGCUGGUCUGAGAGGAUGACCAGCCACACGGGAGCUGGGACACGCUCCAGACUCCUACGAGAGGCAGCAGUGGGGAAUAUUGCACAACGGGCGCAAGCCUGAUGCAGCCAGGCAGCGUGUGUGACGAAAGCCUUCGGGUUGUAAAGAACUUUCAGCGGGGGGGCGUUACCCGCAGAAGAAGCACCGGCUAACUCCGUGCCAGCAGCCGCGGUAAUUC